ACUAGCUUGGCAGACCAGUGCACUUGACUUAGGAUCAAUAUAGAGAGCCUAGCUCUAGCUAGUA
rnacentral:tRNA from 1 species